rnacentral:lncRNA from 1 species
CUCUCUCCCUAAAGCAGCCAGAAGGGACUUCCGGGUAUCUGAGCAUCGGCGGUAUUGUCACUUUCCCUUGGAGUCCCAGGGAGACGUUAUCUCUGGAGCAGGAGGCCCGGUAGACCUUGAAAUGUUCCGCUUGCCUUCUGGCCUUGGCAGCUGGCUUGACAGGUCCCACCGGCUCUCCUGGGAGAGUGGGCAGCUGACAAAUCCGGAGGCCCUGAAACCUUCCUUCCACAUUAUUCACAACAGCCAAGAUUUGGAAGCAACCCAAGUGCCCAUUGACUGAUGAAUGGAUAAAGAAGAUGUAGCAGGCCAGCCCAGUGGCACAGCAGUUAAAGUCACAUGUUCUGCUUUGGCA